rnacentral:tRNA from 1 species
UCUGGUGUAGCUCAGUUGGUAGAGCGUAUGAUUUUUUGAAGGUUUAUCAUAAUGUCGGCGGUUCGAGUCCGUCCACCGGAG